UAAGUUCCUCAGCAAUGUCCUGCAUGCUUUCAGCAAAUACUACAACUGACCAUUUGCGGCUGCAAUCAGUUCUUGAAAAGUAUUUUCAAAGCAGCGUUUUAAAUCGCUGUAAGUUACCACAAGUACACUCUUCUCAUCUCUGGAAAUGAGGCUUAUUUUUUCUGGCACACCAGCAUCUAACUUGUUAAGACAUGAGAUAAUGUGACUGAGGUCAAUCCAAGGAGUACCCGCUUCUGUCACCUGAUGGAAAAGGUGAUCUCGAAAGAGC
rnacentral:lncRNA from 1 species